GGGGGGGGGGGGGGGGGGGGCGGGGGGGGGCCGGUCGGGGGGGGGGGCGGGGGGCUUGGUGCGGUGGCGUGAGCGGCGGACGGGUGGGUGACGCGUGGCUCCCCUCCCUGUAGGGCUGGGAUCCGUUCGUGAACCCGGAGCUCAGCCCGGCUCAUCUCUUGACCCGCAUGGUUCACUAGUGAAAUCCGGUUUUUCUAUCACUUCUCGAUAGCUCCGCGCCUCAUUAGCUAGGUGGUAAGGUAACGGCUUACCAAGGCAACGAUGCGUAGCCGACCUGAGGGGGUGAUCGGCCACACUGGAACUGAGACAAGGUCCAGACUCCUACGGGAGGCAGCAGUAGGGAAUCUUCCGCAAUGGGCGAAAGCCUGACGGAGCAACGCCGCGUGAGUGAUGAAGGUCUUCGGAUCGUAAAACUCUGUUAUUAGGGAAGAACAAAUGUGUAAGUAACUAUGCACGUCUUGACGGUACCUAAUCAGAAAGCCACGGCUAACUACGUG
rnacentral:rRNA from 1 species